GAUGUCGGCUCGUCACAUCCUGGGGCUGAAGAAGGUCCCAAGGGUUCGGCUGUUCGCCGAUUAAAGUGGCACGUGAGCUGGGUUCAGAACGUCGCGAGACAGUUCGGUCCCUAUCUGUUGUGGGCGUUGGAAGUUUGAGGUCACCUGACUCUAGUACGAGAGGACCGAGUUGGACAGACCGCUAGUGUAUCUGUUGUGGCGCCAGCUGCACUGCAGAGUAGCUAUGUCUGGAUGAGAUAAGCGCUGAAAGCAUCUAAGUGCGAAACUCAGACCAAGAUGAGACUUCCUUUAAGGGUCGUCAUAGAUUAUGACGUUGAUAGGAUACAGGUGUAAAGGCAGUAAUGCCAAAGCCGAGUAUUACUAAUUACCCGUAAGCUUUCUACUA
rnacentral:rRNA from 1 species